rnacentral:snRNA from 1 species
UUGUUUUGGCAGCACAUAUACUAAAAUUGGACCGAUACAGAGAAGAUUAGCAUGGUUCCUGUGCAGGGUGACACGCAAAUUCGUGAAGUGUUCCAUAUUUUU